rnacentral:lncRNA from 1 species
ACGGUGAUGGCGGUGGCGGUGGGCACGGUGAUGGCGGCGUUACGACGGGUGGAGGCGUAUGAGUGGGUGGUUUAGGGGUGGACGGAGGUGGUUUAACAGUGGGCGGUUUCGUGGGUGGUUUCGGGGUAGACGGAGGAGGUUUAACGGUGGGCGGUUUCGUGGGUGGUUUCGGGGUGGACGGAGGUGGUUUAACGGUGGGCGGUUUCGUGGGUGGUUUCGGGGUGGGAUGAGGUUUGGUAGGGGGUUUCGGAUGUGGGUGUGGUUUGACAGUGGGCGGUUUGGUAGGGGGUUUAGGGUGUGGGUGUGGUUUGACGGUGGGUGGUUUGGGAGGUUUUACUGCCGGUGGUUUAGGCGGUUUGCUAGGAUGUUUAGGCGGUUUGUGGGGGUGAGGUGAUGGUUUAGGAGGGCUACAGUCGCAAGCGAAG